rnacentral:lncRNA from 1 species
UAUCCUCCGAAGUGGUUCCGAGUAAAGAUGUAUUGUACUGACCAGCAGUGUAAGCAAGCAUGCUUGCCCCCUCCUUCCUACCAGAAGAUUGUUGGGACUCAAGAUAUAUCAGGAUGUGGACCACGAUACAGAUGCCAGAGAGGACAGUCCUACACACCCCAAUGUAUAUCACCAUGCCCUCCCCAGCAGAGACACUCCUAUGUACCAGUAUCCCCACAGUCAUGUUCUCCCCAGAGGCAACCUUCGUAUCCUUUGCAACACCGUCCAACCUUUGUGCCUAAAUGGAUCCAACCAUCAUGUCCUCUGCAGCACCGUCCAGCCUUUGCACCAGACUGCAUACAACCACCACGUCCUCUGCAAUGCCGUUCAUCCUUUUCACCCGACAGCAUCCAACCAGUACCUCCACUGCAACGUCGUUCAUCCUUUUCACCGGACACCAUCCAACCAGUACCUCCUCUGCAAAGCCGUCCGUCCUUUGCACCUGACUGCAUACAACCACCAAGCCCUAUCCAGAACCAACCACUGCUUGCACCAGACCAUCUACAACCAGCAUCGCCUCCCCACAGCGUCAGCCACCAUGUUCCUCAGAUACCCUACAACCAUCGUAUCCUCCCCAGAGAAAGCCAUCCUUUACACCAUCAUAUCCUCCCCAGAGUCAGCCACCAUGUUCCUCAGAUACCCUACAACCAUUGUAUCCUCCCCAGAGAAAGCCAUCCUUUACACCAUCAUAUCCUCCCCAGAGACGGCCAUCCUUUACACCAUCAUAUCCUCCCCAGAGUCAGCCUCCAUGUUCCUCAGAUACCCUACAACCAUCAUAUCCUCCCCAGAGAAGACCAUCCUAUACACCACCAUGGAUCCAGCCAUGCUCUUCACAGGGCGAAGCAUCCUAUGAACCUCCUUGCCCAAGGCCCUCUUUUCCUGAAAGACCACUGUCCCCUCCACAGAGCAUUCUUCAGCCAUAUGCUUCACCACAGAAGUACCAGUACACCCAGAAGCCAUGUUGCCCCCCAUGCAAGUCCGUGUGUUUUGGUUCCCAGCAGACACGCAUGCCCCAAGCUGUGCAAACAUGUGCUCCUAAAGGGAAAUGUGUAUCUCAAGGUUUUCUGGGAUCUCAAUGUUCACAAGGUGCCAUCAAGGGAAACCAACAAGGUGUGAUCAAAGGUGGACAACAGUAUGGGAGUCAACAAUGCAUUAAGAAGGGAGGGCCAGUAGGUAUAACCAAGAGUGUGCAACAGUGUGCAUGCCAACCGGGUAUCAUGAAAGGAGGACUCUGUGGCCAGCAAUAUGGCAGCCAACCAUUCAUAACCAAGGGAGUUUCAGCAGGGAAAGCUAUGGCAAUUCAACAGGGUGCGAGUCAAGCGUAUGUGACAAAGGGAGGUCCAGGAUUUGCAGUCAAGAGUAGUCCACAGUGGUCAAGUCAACCAUGCAUCUCAAAGGGAGGACCCAUGUAUGCUACAAAGGGCAGUCAAGGGUAUAUAAGAAAGGGGACUAAGUGGUAAACACGGUGAAGAUAUCUGCCAGAUAUAAUGUUGAGCUGGUCACUGGACUUACUAAACAAGUGGAGAAGACUGGGAACAUCUUCAUCAGUUCGUCCAUAAACUUCUCCACAAAUGCAUUUGUAAUUACUAGACAUGUCCAAACAAUCGUUUUGAAUCGUAUAUCGGAAUUAUUUCAGAUUGUUCUCGCUUUUUGAUACGCAUUCCGAGACAUUGUCUCACAGCGCAACCAGCAAUGUAAUUCGAACCAUUGAUGGCCCAUUCUCUAAUUGUCUCUUAAUGUUUCAUUAUUUCUGCCCCCCCCAUUUUUUUUAAAAUAUGUUUUUAAAAAUAUUUUUAAAAAAAAUUGUUUCUGCAACCUACCUUGAAUGGGAGCUUAGUGCAGCCUAACAUGGCUGACGCUCCUCGGCCAAUCAGAAGCUUCCACGAUGGACGCAAAGGUGGGGGCUAACGUCCUCUGCGUCCACAUGGAAGACUGCCAUACAAGCCCGGUGUGUAGCGAUUGCGCAUGCGCGUCCGCCAUUUUAGAAACAUUUAGAAUCAUUACGAAUUUUCGGAAAUAUCCGAAAUUUUGGGGUGAAAAAAUCGGAAAUACUUUCUAUAUCGAAGUGCCAGCGCCCCCUACUUUAGAAACGAGAAUUGAAACUUUUUUUCAUCGAUCGGACAUGCCUAGUAAUUACUAUAAUCAAGACUAAAUCUAGGGACGAGAUACAAGUCCAGAGGCUAAAGAGGAAUUGGGUCCUCUUUGAUAUCUGGUUGACUUCAAUUUUGUGAAGAAAUUGAAUCUUAACUUCCAUUUUGAAUGAUGAACUAGGUCCUGGUUUUCUAGGUGUUUUGGACUUAAUCUCUCAGAAUUCCAGAUCACUGGCCAAAGGAACAAAGGUUUCUGGGAACUGAAGUCCAAAACACCCAGAGAAUUAAUGUUUGGAUAUCACCGAUUUAGAUAAUAGUCUUCAACACUGAACAUCAACAUUGACAUGUAACCUGAGGUUUGCUUCAAUGUUCACGUUAAUGUAUUAAACGCAAGUUGGGUUGGGUUGAGUUGGAAGGGUGAUGUGGAGCAAUUGCUAAGAUAACAUUUGGUCAUUUCAUCAGGAUACUGCAUAAAUCUCCUUUAAACUAUUUUAUAGAAUUACAUAUCUCACAAUAUUUAUUAUUAUUAUUAUUAUUAUUAUUAUUAUUAUUAUUAUUAUUAUUAUUAUUAUUAUUUAUUACAGUCAGGCCUCCACAUUUACAGGUUUCGCUUUGGCGGACUUUAUUAUCGGCGGAUCUGAUGAAUAAGUUCUCUUUAGUAAUCUCGCAGUUCAACUUCCACUGGUUCAGCUUUGUUUCAUGCACAAAAUAAAUAAAAUAUUGUUAUCAAAUGACUCCCAGGCUACUGUGUAUAAGCUGGUUACGAAACAUAAAUGAAUUCUGUGUUGAGGCUUGGGUCCCAUCUUCAAGAUAACUCAUGAUGCACGUAUGUACAAACACUGUUACGACAGAAUUUGAAAAAAAUUAAAAUCCUAAACACUUCUGUCCCAAACAUUUCAGAUAAGGGGGGAGACUCAAAAUGGAUUUCUUGAUUGAAAAAAGUCAAGAAAGCGAAAAGUCAAUGCCCUUCUUUCCUUAACAGUAUUCUGGUCAUUCAAUUGAUCAAUUUUUGUUGUGUCAGGCUGAUAGAAAUGUCACUGGUCUGACCAACAUUUCCAAAAUGGACGCCAUUCAUCUGAAGCUGGAUUUCCAAGGCCAACUAUCUGCUAGUUUCCAUGAUUUUUCUCCUAAUUCCCAUGAUUCUUCUCCUAGUUCCUACAAGUCUUCUCUAGUUCCUACAAUUCUUCUUUAGUUCCUAUGUUUCUUCUUGUGUCCACGGUUCUUCUCCUAGUUCCCAUGAUUUCUCUCCUAGUUCCCAUAAGUCUUCUCUAGUUUUUAUGAUUCUUCUUGGCUCCUAUGAGUCUUCAAGUGCCUACAAUUCUUCUCCUGGUUCCUACAAGUCUUCUGUACUUACAAUUCUUCUUUAGAUCCUAUGAUUCUUCUCAUGUCUACGAUUCUUCUCCUAGUUCCCAUGAUUUCUCUCCUAGUUCCUAUAAGUCUUCUCUAGUUCUUACAAUUCUUCUUGGUUUCUGUGAGUCUUCAAGUGGCUAUGAUUCUUCUCCUAGUUACUACAAGUCUUAUCUAGUGCCUACAAUUCCUUUUUAGUUCCUAUGAUUUUUCUCCUGUCUAUGAUUCUUCUCCCAGUUCCCAUGAUUCUCAUCCUAGUUCCUUCAGGUUUUCUCUAGUUCUUACAAUUCUUCUUGGUUUCUGUGAGUCUUCAAGUGCCUAUGAUUCUUCUCCUAGUUACUACAAGUCUUCUCUAGUUCCUACAAUUCUUAUUUAGUUCCUAUGAUUUUUCUCCUGUUUACGAUUCUUCUCCCAGUUCCCAUGAUUCUCCUCCUAGUUCCUUCAGGUUUUUUCUAGUUCUUACAAUUCUUCUUGGUUUCUGUGAGUCUUCAAGUGCCUAUGAUUCUUCUCCUAGUUACUACCAGUCUUCUCUAGUUCCUACAAUUCGUCUUUAGCUCCUAUGAUUUUUCUCCUGUCUACGAUUCUUCUCCCAGUUCCUACAAGUCUUCUCUAGUUCCUAUUAUUCUCCUCCUAGUCCCUAUUCUUCUUCUUCUAAUUCCUACCAUUCUUCUCUAGUUCCUAUGAUUCUUCUCCCAGUCUCUUCUCUUAAAUCAUCAUGGAUAGAGUAGAAAAAGCAGGGAGAGUGGUUUGGUUCUUGGGCAAACCGGUUUCUAGAACGAGACUUAAUGAAAGGCCAACACCACACUUAUGUUUACUCUCUUCUUCCAGGGCUGUUUUCGCCCCUCCAUCAAAGUCAAGGGUUUGGUUGCUUCCGAUUUGGGGUUGAGAUUUCCAUCAAGCGGACCUCCAUGGUGCUUGUUUUCUUCAGCUUCUUCAUUAAAAAGGGAGGGAAAGGCAUUGACAACACCCUCGCAAUAUCCCUAGGCUUGGCACGUAGUACACCGGGUUGCAAUUUAGCUGGGCUCAAACUAAAUCACGAGGACAAGAAAUGGCUACAGGGCUUUGAUGUUCCUCAGGGACGGAGGAAACCAGGAGGACAUGCGGUCAGGAGAAAAGGAAACGGAGACAUGAUUAAAGUUGAGUGGAAAUACAAGAAGGGUGGGUGGAUGUGGCAACCACACCUUACGGAGUAUAAAACUAGCCUUAAACUCUGCAGCUGAGGUGGUUUUGAUUUGGGGCAGAUAUGGAGCACGGGAGAAUGGCUCAGGGAUCUUCACGUCACAAGGGGUUUGGUAGUUGGUUUUCUGAUGUUAAAUCCCUUCCUGGGGUGCAUAUACAUUGUAGAGUUUACUCACUUGGACACUGCCUGAAUUUCUAUGGUUCAAUGAAUUCGAGUUUUGCAAGUUUUAACAUUCUCUUGCAAAGAGUGCUGGUGCCACAGUAAACUAUUGAAACAUGCUAUUAAAAUAGUGGCAAACUGGCUUGAUUCUACAGUGUAGAUCAGUGGUUCCCAACCUGUGGUCUGUGGACCACCAGUGGUCCCCAAGAACUAAAAUAUAGUCCGUGGCCUGACCAUGACUAUCCUCUUAUAGUGCUGAAGUAAAGGGGAUGUUGAGAGGGGAGAGGCUAACUACCCAUGAAAGGCAUGACAACAAGCCUCCUGACUGCUGUUUCUCCCCCUCCUCCUCCCUCCCCCUGAGCGGAGCUGUUC